AUCAUUACCAGAGUGGACCGGCCCUCGCGGCUGGAACCUCCCAACCCCAUGUCGUUUCGACUCUGUUGCCUCGGGGGCGACCCGGCCUUCGGGCGUCGGGGCCCCCGGCGGACCCCUCAAACUCUGCAUGCUUUGCGUCUGAGUACAGAUAUAAAUCAAUCAAAACUUUCAACAACGGAUCUCUUGGUUCUGGCAUCGAUGAAGAACGCAGCGAAAUGCGAUAAGUAAUGUGAAUUGCAGAAUUCAGUGAAUCAUCGAAUCUUUGAACGCACAUUGCGCCCCCUGGCAUUCCGGGGGGCAUGCCUGUUCGAGCGUCAUUACACCACUCAAGCCUGGCCUGGUAUUGGGCGGCCGCGGUCCUCCCCGCGCGCCCUAAUGUCUCCGGCUGAGCCGUCCGUCUCUAAGCGUUGUGGCACACCAGUUCGCUUGCGAGGCCCGGGCGGUUCGACGCCGUUAAACCCCUUCUUCUCAAAGGUUGACCUCGGAUCAGGUAGGGAUACCCGCUGAACUUAAGCAUAUCAAUAAGCGGAGGA
rnacentral:rRNA from 1 species